UACGUAGGUGGCAAGCGUUGUCCGGAUUUACUGGGCGUAAAGAGCGCGCAGGCGGUCGUUCAAGUCGUGUGUGAAAGCCCCCGGCUCAACUGGGGAGGGUCACGCGAUACUGAUCGACUCGAAGGCAGGAGAGGGUAGUGGAAUUCCCGGUGUAGUGGUGAAAUGCGUAGAUAUCGGGAGGAACACCAGUGGCGAAGGCGACUACCUGGCCUGUUUCUUGACGCUGAGGCGCGAAAGCUAGGGGAGCAAACGGG
rnacentral:rRNA from 1 species